rnacentral:rRNA from 1 species
GAGGAAUGUAUAGCAAUAGCUACUUGCAUCAUUGUAUGUAUGAUGCAAGAUCGACUAUGUCGAAUAAAAUUCGAGGUAGAAUUAUGAUAAUGACAUUGUCUGCCUAUGUGUCUUGACCAAAUUACGUGCCAGCAGUCGCGGUAAUACGUAGAAGACUAGUGUUAUUCAUGUUUAAUCGGUUUAAAGGGUACCUAGACGGUAAAUCAAGCCUACAAAAACCAGAAAGGAAGGGACUAAUUUGCUAGAGUUACUUAUGAGGGGGUAUUAAAGUACUGCUGGUGUAGAGAUGAAAUUCUGUCAUACCUUUUUUCAAUAGAAAAAUAACGGCACUGGUUUAGGCGAAGGCAUCCCCUUAUGUGAUAACUGACGUUGAGGGACGAAGGCUUUGUGUAGCGAACAGGAUUAGAUACCCUAGUAGUCAAAGCAGAAAAUGAUGAAUGUCAUAGAUUAGAUAAAUAGUUUAUUCUAUAAAUGAAAGUGUAAGCAUUCCACCUCAAGAGUAAUUUGGCAACAUUGGAACUGAAAUCAUUAGACCGUUUCUGAAACCAG